GGGGCUGUGGCCUAGUCCGGCAUGGCGACGGGCUCCAGCGGAUAAAUGAUGAACAACGGGUCUACUGAGGCUUGCCCGACGGGGUCGGCCUGUGAGGAACCGUUGGAGCACUGAUAAAGGCUCUUAAAAUGAUGCUGUGUUUUGCAGCAGUUCGGAGAGACCCGUCGAUCGUGAGUUCAAAUCUCACCAGCCCCA
rnacentral:tRNA from 1 species